UACGGGGGGUGCAAACGUUGUUCGGAAUUACUGGGCGUAAAGGGCGCGCAGGCGGCUGCUCAAGUCAGGCGUGAAAGGCCUGGGCUCAACCCGGGAAUUGCGCUUGAGACUGGGCUGGCUUGAGUGCGGGAGAGGAUGGUGGAAUUCCCAGUGUAGAGGUGAAAUUCGUAGAUAUUGGGAAGAACACCGGUGGCGAAGGCGGCCAUCUGGACCGCAACUGACGCUGAGGCGCGAAAGCGUGGGGAGCAAACAGG
rnacentral:rRNA from 1 species